rnacentral:piRNA from 1 species
UAGAAGAAACCACCUAGCCUAGUCUUUUACU